GGCGGCGUGCUUAACACAUGCAAGUCAAGGAGAACGGAUUCUUCGGGAUACUAGUAAACUGGCGAACGGGUGAGUAACACGUAGGUAAUCUACCCUGGAGAUUGGGAUAACCCCGGGAAACCGGAGCUAAUACUGAAUAAUGCAGCGGAUCCUUCGGGAUAUGUUGUUAAAGCGGGCUUUUGCUCGCACUUUAGGAUGAGCCUGCGUCCGAUUAGCUUGUUGGUGGGGUAAUGGCCUACCAAGGCGAUGAUCGGUAGCUGGUCUGAGAGGAUGAUCAGCCACACUGGGAUUGAGAUACGGCCCAGACUCCUACGGGAGGCAGCAGUGGGGAAUUUUGCGCAAUGGGCGAAAGCCUGACGCAGCAACGCCGCGUGAUCGAUGAAGCUUUUCGGAGUGUAAAGAUCUGUCGUGAGGGAAGAAUAACUUGGAUGCAAAUAGUUUUCAAGUCUGACGGUACCUCAUAAGAAAGCACCGGCUAACUUCGUGCCAGCAGCCGCGGUAAUACGAGGGGUGCUAGCGUUGUCCGGAAUCAUUGGGCGUAAAGGGUCCGUAGGUGUCUUUGCAAGUCGUUUGUUACAUCCACCGGCUUAACCGGUGGCCUGCAAUCGAAACUGCAAGGAUAGAGUUCGAGAGAGGAAAGUGGAAUUCCUGGUGUAGCGGUGACAUGCGUAGAUAUCAGGAGGAACACCAAUGGCGAAGGCAGCUUUCUGGCUCGAUACUGACACUGAGGGACGAAAGCGUGGGUAGCGAACAGGAUUAGAUACCCUGGUAGUCCACGCCGUAAACGAUGAGUACUUGAUGUCGGAGGAUUCGACCCCUUCGGUAUCGUAGCU
rnacentral:rRNA from 1 species